GAGAAAGGCAGCGGCGGGGCAGCGGCUUCCCGGGACUGCGACAUCUGAGGGAGCAAGGCUGGCUUUAUUCCCGGAGUUUGAACUCGAGUUAUUUUUACUCAGAAAGCCCAAAUCCCCCUUUGUUGGUGGGCAGGCACGGUGGCUUCUCCUCACUCCACAGAAUCCCACAAAUAAUGCUGUGUCCUUGCCAUGCUGUGAGGACCAGCAAGUGAUUUGGCUUUCCCAUUUGCACGUGUCCCACUGAGCAGAUAAAAGCCUUGGAUGCAGAAUUCCUUGGUUUUUGUUGGUUUUCUGGUGGCCAAAGCAGCACUGGAAAUCCUUUUCCUUCCUGCCAGCCGCAGAACAGUUCUAUCCAUGCAGAAGCUGUGGCCCUUCCAGAACAUGAAGGUAACACAGAGCUCCCAUAAAUCUUAAUGUGGAAAAUAUGGCUGCUCCCAGUGAUUUCUCCAGGGGCAUUAAAUCCUCUGCAGAGCUGCACACACUGGCUGUCAACAAGUGGUUUCACAGAAUCACAGAAUCAUUUUGGUUGGA